CCCCCGUGUGGGGGACCGGCCCGGGCUCGGGGCGGCUGAUUUGGGGUGGCCUGGAGGGAAACUGAGCUGGGAGUCAGCACUGCUCACAGCCCCACUCCAGAGCUGACCAGCCACCACCUUUCCCCAAGGAGUGAGGUGGGAAUGAGAUGACCCCGCGUGGCAACAGCUACAGACACAAAAGUGUUUUGCCCAACUGAGAGAAUCCAGUGUGAGAGACCACAUGCCAUUCUUGAUGUUCAUUUUCCAUGAAGGCAUAUAGAGAACCAACAACAACAACAACAAAAAACCCUCCUACACAUGUCCGAAUUGCUGCUUGCUCAUAUGUGCACACGUGGGCACACACAGUCUUCUGGAGAUA